rnacentral:lncRNA from 1 species
CUGUCACGCGUCCCCGCUCGUCUUCCAGCGGAAGCGUCGCUGUAGGGUGGCAGUGGUGUAUUUUUUUUUUUUAAUUACGCAAUUUAGGCGAAUGCAGUCCAAUCCAGAGCCGCUAGCUGUGUACGCGCUGAGCUUGGUAGAGUUCACCGUGGAAUUUGCUUUUCCAACAACGACCCCGGGGGAGAGCCCGGGCCUCUUUAGGCGGCGUCUUACCUCGCCCCUCGCCUCCCGGCGUCUUCGGCGACCGCUCAGUAGAUGCGGCGUCCCCAGCGCGGCACCCGAGCCCAGCCCAGCAGCGCGGGCUCUUCGCCUCCCUCUCCACCGUCCCCGCGCUUUUUAAAACUUUGGGCGCAGCUUUUGAGUGACUGUCCAGGAAUCAGUGCUCCUGCCCCACUUCAACUAGCGUACAAAUAAAUACCUUACCCCCGUUCACGUUUCAUAAAUUAGGAAAAGACAUCCAGCUUACAUUCCCCCAAAUUAGCUGUAUCCGACUCUGCAAUUCAUUUACCCUUCCAAGUUGGUGACACGAAAUUCUAUUCUCCAAACAAACCGUAAUGAUCAAUCCAACGUCCCUUUCUACUCCGUUUUAAAAGACUGAAGAAUUAAUGCCAGAGGAGAGCUAUCAACACUGCCGGAGAUUACAGAUUAAGCGAUAUCAGAGCCCCAUACCACCACUCUUUUACUAUCCCUCAUUCUGGGCGUGAUCCCUCUUCACUAAAAUCCUAGCCCAAAUGUAUUUUGUCCCCUACCCUUGAUUCUUUGAAAAUCUGUUUCCUAAAAUAGUAAACGUAACGUUUUAAAGACCUUCUAACGUCACCCUCCUCAUUGCAGUCCUAAGCGGCACACCAGCGCAGCUCAGCCCGCUCCUGAAGACUUCGAAGCAGGAAACCCAGCAAUCUUCCAAGUGGCACCUUCCCUGCUGGCCUAGAUGAACCUAGAAAGUAGCGGUUGACGAGUGAUUGUGCACAGUGUCCAGGAACUCCCAGGCUAAGGGACGUCCAGCUCUCGAGGUUUACAGGCAAGGGGGACCUGAAGUGGAGGGAGGUGCAUUGUUUCCACAUGGCGUUUAGGUGGUAACAGCCCAA